rnacentral:lncRNA from 1 species
UCAGUUCUCCUCUAGUUCCAUCCAACUUCUCUUGUUCUUCCAUUCUUUUCCACCCUUGUUCUCAAGACUCGAACUGAUUUAAGUAUCGGAGGGUCAAAAAUCAGAGGAUCUCCACUCAGUUUCUGAACUGAUUUUGCAGAAUGGAGGAGUUUUCAUCAAAUUGCAAGGAUCGCUCUAGUCCAAUCUCGUUCAAGUCGAUUCACUCUACUUCAGAUUUCGAGUCCUGAAGCAGUAGAUUGGCGCUUAAAAGAGGGCCCC